rnacentral:rRNA from 1 species
GAUGAACGCUAGCGGCAGGCCUAAUACAUGCAAGCUGAACGGUAAAUGUUAUAGCAAUAUAAUAUGAGAGUAGCGUAAGGGUGCGUAACACGUAUGCAAUCUACCCGCAACAGGAGGAUAGCUCCCCGAAAGGGGAAUUAAUACUCCAUAAGAUCACGAGAGGGCAUCUGAUUGUGAUUAAACUCCAAGGGGUUGCGGAUGAGCAUGCGUCUGAUUAGUUAGUUGGUGAGGUAACGGCUCACCAAGACGAUGAUCAGUAGGGGAACUGAGAGGUUGAUCCCCCACACUGGCACUGAGAUACGGGCAAGACUCCUACGGGAGGCAGCAGUAGGGAAUAUUGGUCAAUGGGUGAGAGCCUGAACCAGCCAUGCCGCGUGCAGGAAGACGGCCUUCUGGGUUGUGAACUGCUUUUAUCUGGGGAUAAAAUAUCCUUGCGAGGAGAAUUGAAGGUACCAGAGGAAUAAGCCACGGCUAACUACGUGCCAGCAGCCGCCGUAACAC